AUUGAACGCUGGCGGCAGGCCUAACACAUGCAAGUCGAACGAGUGGCGGACGGGUGAGUAAUGUCUGGGAAACUGCCUGAUGGAGGGGGAUAACUACUGAAACGGUAGCUAAAACCGCAUACCAACCGAUUGGCCCAGAUGGGGGUAGCUUGUUGGUGGGGUAACGGCUCACCAAGGCGACGGUCCCUAGCCGGUCUGAGAGGAUGACCAGCCACACUGGAACUGAGACACGGUCCAGACUCCUACGGGAGGCAGCAGUGGGGAAUAUUGCACAAUGGGCGCAAGCCUGAUGCAGCCAUGCCGCGUGUAUGAAGAAGGCCUUCGGGUUGUAAAGUACUUUCAGCGGGGAGGCGUUACCCGCAGAAGAAGCACCGGCUAACUCCGUGCCAGCAGCCGCGGUAAUUC
rnacentral:rRNA from 1 species